rnacentral:lncRNA from 1 species
UCUCUACCUCCUGGAUCCUGCGCUCCGGGUCCGCUUCCUGGUGCAAACUUGACUGCCAGAACAAGCGCCGCGUAGUUUCUACGCUCCAGGUCCGCUACCUGGUGAAACUCCACUUCCAGGACAAGCGCCCCGUAGUUUCUACGCUCCAGGUCCGCUACCUGGUGAAACUCGACUUCCGGGACAAACGCUCAUUUAUUAGUAUUCGGAGUACAACCCAAGGUGGUUAGCGGUGGUCAUUGGAGGUGGUUGACGGUGUUUGGAGGUGGUCAGACGUGGUUAGGGGUGUUUGCGGCUGAUCGAGGUGGACGAGGAGAACAAGGUGGACGAGGAGAACAAGGUGGACGAGGAGGACGAGGAUUUUUGCACGGUAUAACUCGAGGUGGUUAUCAGUGGUUGUUGGAGGUUGUUGGCGAUGGUUGGGUGUGUUCGGCGGUGGACGAGGAGGAGAACGAGAAAUACGAGGACAGCAAGAUGGACGAGGACGACCAUUAUUAUAAUCUUUUUUACCAGUUCAUUUGUUCAGAACUUUUUUAAUAGAUAGAGAGAUUUGAUGC